rnacentral:rRNA from 1 species
GGCCUAACACAUUGCAAGUCGAACGAGAAAGUGGAGCAAUCCAUGAGUAAAGUGGCGACCGGGUGAGUAACACGUGACUAACCUACCCUCGAGUGGGGGAUAACUCCGGGAAACCGGAGCUAAUACCGCAUAACAUCGCAAGAUCAAAGCAGCAAUGCGCUUGGGGAGGGGGUCGCGGCUGAUUAGCUAGUUGGCGGGGUAACGGCCCACCAAGGCGAAGAUCGGUAUCCGGCCUGAGAGGGCGCACGGACACACUGGAACUGAAACACGGUCCAGACUCCUACGGGAGGCAGCAGUGGGGAAUUUUGCGCAAUGGGGGAAACCCUGACGCAGCAACGCCGCGUGGAGGAUGAAGCCCCUUGGGGCGUAAACUCCUUUCGACCAAGACGAUAAUGACGGUACUGGUGGAAGAAGCACCGGCUAACUCUGUGCCAGCAGCCGCGGUAAUACAGAGGGUGCGAGCGUUGUUCGGAAUUAUUGGGCGUAAAGGGCGCGUAGGCGGUGCCACAAGUCACUUGUGAAAUCUCCGGGCUUAACUCGGAGCCUGCAGGCGAAACUGUGGUGCUGGAGUAUGGGAGAGGUGCGUGGAAUUCCCGGUGUAGCGGCGAAAUGCGUAGA